GAAUAUUGGACAAUGGGGGCAACCCUGAUCCAGCCAUGCCGCGUGUGUGAAGAAGGCCUUCGGGUUGUAAAGCACUUUAAGUGGGGAGAAAGGCUCGAUGGCUAAUAUCCAGGGGGAUUGAUGCUACCCACAGAAGAAGCACCGGCUAACACCGUGCCAGAAGCCGCGGUAAUACGGAGGGUGCGAGCGUUAAUCGGAAUUACUGGGCGUAAAGCGCGCGUAGGCGGCUGGCUAAGUCGGGUGUGAAAGCCCCGGGCUCAACCUGGGAACUGCACUCGAUACUGGCCGGCUAGAGUAUGGGAGAGGGAGGUAGAAUUCCACGUGUAGCGGUGAAGUGCGUAGAUAUGUGGAGGAAUACCGGUGGCGAAGGCGGCCUCCUGGCUUAAUACUGACGCUGAGGUGCGAAAGCGUGGGGAGCAAACAGG
rnacentral:rRNA from 1 species